GACGAACGCUGGCGGCGUGCUUAACACAUGCAAGUCGAACGGAAAGGCCCUGCUUUUGUGGGGUGCUCGAGUGGCGAACGGGUGAGUAACACGUGAGUAACCUGCCCUUGACUUUGGGAUAACUUCAGGAAACUGGGGCUAAUACCGGAUAGGAGCUCCUGCUGCAUGGUGGGGGUUGGAAAGUUUCGGCGGUUGGGGAUGGACUCGCGGCUUAUCAGCUUGUUGGUGGGGUAGUGGCUUACCAAGGCUUUGACGGGUAGCCGGCCUGAGAGGGUGACCGGCCACAUUGGGACCGAGAUACGGCCCAGACUCCUACGGGAGGCAGCAGUGGGGAAUAUCGCACAAUGGGCGGAAGCCUGAUGCAGCAACGCCGCGUGCGGGAUGACGGCCUUCGGGUUGUAAACCGCUUUCGCCUGUGACGAAGCGUGAGUGACGGUAAUGGGUAAAGAAGCACCGGCUAACUACGUG
rnacentral:rRNA from 1 species